UGAGGAAUAUUGGUCAAUGGUCGGGAGACUGAACCAGCCAAGCCGCGUGAGGGAUGAAGGUACAGAGUAUCGUAAACCUCUUUUGUCAGGGAACAAAAGGCGCCACGCGUGGCGCUCCGAGUGUACCUGAAGAAAAAGCAUCGGCUAACUCCGUGCCAGCAGCCGCGGUAAUACGGAGGAUGCGAGCGUUAUCCGGAUUUAUUAGGUUUAAAGGGUGCGUAGGCGGCGAGUUAAGUCAGCGGUAAAAGCCCGGGGCUCAACCCCGGCCCGCCGUUGAAACUGGCUUGCUUGAGUUGGAGAGAAGUAGGCGGAAUGCGCGGUGUAGCGGUGAAAUGCUUAGAUAUCGCGCAGAACUCCGAUUGCGAAGGCAGCCUACCGGCUCCAGACUGACGCUGAGGCACGAAAGCGUGGGUAUCGAACAGGAUUAGAUACCC
rnacentral:rRNA from 1 species